rnacentral:rRNA from 1 species
UCUGUAUGUGAAACCUGCGGAGGGAUCAUUACCGAGUUUACAACUCCCAAACCCAAUGUGAACGUUACCAAACUGUUGCCUCGGCGGGAUCUCUGCCCCGGGUGCGUCGCAGCCCCGGACCAAGGCGCCCGCCGGAGGACCAACCAAAACUCUUAUUGUAUACCCCCUCGCGGGUUUUUUUAUAAUCUGAGCCUUCUCGGCGCCUCUCGUAGGCGUUUCGAAAAUGAAUCAAAACUUUCAACAACGGAUCUCUUGGUUCUGGCAUCGAUGAAGAACGCAGCGAAAUGCGAUAAGUAAUGUGAAUUGCAGAAUUCAGUGAAUCAUCGAAUCUUUGAACGCACAUUGCGCCCGCCAGUAUUCUGGCGGGCAUGCCUGUCCGAGCGUCAUUUCAACCCUCGAACCCCUCCGGGGGGUCGGCGUUGGGGAUCGGCCCUGCCUUGGCGGUGGCCGUCUCCGAAAUACAGUGGCGGUCUCGCCGCAGCCUCUCCUGCGCAGUAGUUUGCACACUCGCAUCGGGAGCGCGGCGCGUCCACAGCCGUUAAACCACCCAACUUCUCAAAUGGACCCUCGGAUCAGGUAGGAAUACCCGCGAACU